GUGAAAACAGACACCUAGAUGUGGGCCUUAGGCCUGAUGUGGCUGAGGAAUAGCAUGUGUGUGUCACAUGAGAGAAUUCCUGAGCUCACUGUGACUAUUUGACUUCGAUGACAAACCUCAGGAACCCUAAGGAACAGGGCAUCGAUAGCUAGGCCAGCAUUUACUGUCAUCCCUAAUUGCCCUGGAGAUACUGCUGGUGAACCGCCUUCUUCAAACACCACAAUCUGUGGGAUAUAGGCCCACAAAGGAGGGAGGUAGUUCCAGGACUUUGAUCCAGCGACAUUGAAGGAACGGUGAUCUAUUUCCAAGUCAGGAAGGGCCCUGCGGUGACCCAGUUUGUAGCCGAUGUUCUGGUUCUUCCUCUUGUUGCCGCCUUUGGUGCCCCCGGGGCCGCUGGUGCCAGAGGAGCCGGUGCUGGGGUA